UACGUAGGGUGCGAGCGUUACUCGGAAUUACUGGGCGUAAAGUGUGCGCAGGCGGCGCCGCAAGUCGAGUGUGAAAGCCCCGAGCUUAACUUGGGAAUUGCGCUCGAAACUAUGGUGCUGGAGUGUGGCAGAGGAAGGUGGAAUUCCACGUGUAGCGGUGAAAUGCGUAGAGAUGUGGAGGAACACCGAUGGCGAAGGCAGCCUUCUGGGCCAACACUGACGCUCAUGCACGAAAGCGUGGGGAGCAAACAGG
rnacentral:rRNA from 1 species